rnacentral:rRNA from 1 species
CACGUAGUCAAUCUACCCUGAGGACGGGGAUAACCCCGGGAAACUGGGGAUAAACCCCGAUAGGUCAUAGCUUCUGGAAUGGGCUAUGGCUCAAAUCUAUAUGGCCUUAGGAUGGGACUGCGUCCGUUCAGGUUGUUGGUGGGGUAAUGGCCCACCAAGCCUAUAACCGGUACGGGCUCUGAGAGGAGGAGCCCGGAGAUGGGCACUGGGACAAGGGCCCUGGUCCUAUGGGGCGCAGCAGGCGCGAAACCUCCGCAAUGGGCGAAAGCCCGACGGGGUCAGUCCGAGUGGCUUCUGCUAAAGGAGUCUUUUGUCAGCUGUAAACAGGCUGGUGAAUAAGGGGUGGGCAAGCCUGGUGUCAGCCGCCGCGGUAAUACCAGCACCCCGAGUGGUCGGGAUGAUUAUUGGGCCUAAAGCAUCCGUAGCCGGUGUAGUAAGUCCUCCGUUAAAUCCACCUGCUCAACAGGUGGGCUGCGGAGGAUACUGCUACACUAGGANGCGGGAGAGGCGANGGGUAUUCCAC